AAAAUCAAACUCUAUGUCCGAUUAGGUAAAUUCCCAUCCCAAACCAAAAUCAAAGCAACGCGGUGGUGGAUUUUGAUACCUCCGCAGCGGAGUCAGACGAAGAAGGAGACAGAAACUGAGAAAUUGAGAGAGAAGACGGAGAUGGCUGUGAACCCUCAACUGUUCCCUAAUGGCAUGCCUGUUCCUUUUGUGAACGAGAUGUUGGUUCUCGCCGAGGUCGAUAAGAUUCCUGGAUCUGAUGGUGGUCGUCUUAAAGCAAAGGGGACAAUCUACUUGUCAAAUAUACGCAUGGUCUUUGUUUCAAACAAGCCUGUUGGAAACUUUAUUACUUUUGAUAUGCCCCUGGUAUGUGAUACUUAGUUUUACCUCAACAUUGCUUUCCUUCCAUCGUUAUGUUGCUUUUUCUUUGAGAACUUCACUUGAAACUGAGUCAACUCGCAAAGUUUCUUUGCACCUAAUGAUUCUUCUGUAACCCCUUUUGUGUGAUUGUGGGGUUUCCAUGACUUGUGGUUUUGAUUUCCUGCAUAUUGAAUGUAUCUUGACCACAGCUUCUGACUUUUAUUUUGAUGCCAAAAUAUGUUAACAAAGGAAGUUUUAACAUUUAUUGUUCUCUGGUGUAAGUCUCUGGACUUUUGUUCUUAUUUUAAUUGUGAUUUUAACUGUGGAAGGUGGUCUCAAGAAGAGAUUGGGAUAUUUUUCCUACGGUAGAUUUAGCAUGUACACAUGGGAAAUGUUCAGGGUAAAAAAAAAAAGCUUUUAGGUUAAGAUUAGAGUAUUGUGAGCUACAUUCAGACUUUGUUUAUGUCAAAUACUUGUAUUUGAUGUUACUUCUGAGUUCUUCUUUCCCUUUUAUUAUAAGUGUGAUUUAGAUGAACUUUGAUGAUUUCUCUGCAAUAUAUGUUACUUUGGGCUAUUUAACAUAGUUUGUAAAAUCCUUGAUACGAUCUUAUGAUUGGAUCUCAAGUGCUCUCUUGUGGAUCUUAGGUAGGAUCCUGAUUUUGAAAACCCGGCAUCUAACUUCCAUUAUGUAACAAAGAGUAAUUCAAAAUUAUAAUAUAUUUAAUCAACCUUUUAUGUCACAAUUUUGUCCCAAACCUACGGCCAGCCAUGAUCCACCACUACAACAAUCCUAAUUUUCCCAGUGAAUCACUUUUAUCCCACAGCAUUAAUUUGCCACUAUUUCUAACGACCGUUGGAUGUUAUCCUAUCCAACAGUUGCUGGGUUUCAGGUGCUGACUGGUUCCUAAUUCUAGGGGCUCAGGUGAGUGCUGCUAUUAUUAUGUGUAAGGCUAAAAAGUGCUGUUGUCUGUGAUGAUCAGCUUGCUUGUUUGAAGUUUGUAAGGAUUCUUUUGUCUUGGUGCAGUUUUGGCACAAAUUUGAUGUCUUCUGCAGUCGUUCUUUUACAUCCAUUUAUUUGCAUCUCACUGACCUUUGUGUUGCAUCUCACUGACAUUUAUUUGCAUAAGAUGGAGGCAAUACUUGCUCCUCCUAAACCCCUCCUCAUAAUUGUGGGGUUUGCAUUUUAAUAUUAAAAUUCAAUUUUUUAAAGAUAUACUGAUGAAAUUUGAUAGAGCAGAUUGUAUAUUAUCUGUUGUGGAUAGAGAUGAUACAUUUUCUCUGAGAAAUUUUAGUUGGGUUUUCUCAGCAUUUGUUUAAUUUAGUCGCUAGUAUUACACCACACCAGCAUUAUAUUGAUGCUGAUGUGGACUAAUUAGUUAGGACAGGUGUCAAGAUUAGUUAAAUUAAUUUUUCUUUGUUGUCAUAUGGCAAUGUAUGUAGGCAUUCUAGCUUCUGUUGGAAGAGAUGAUAUCAUUAUCAUAUUGAAUGAAAUUACAGAGUUCUUCACUUCUCUGUUUCUCUCUUGCUCUCUAACCCUAUAUUCUUCAAAAUUUUAGCCUUCAUUCUACUGUAGUUCUGUGAUAUUUGAAUGAAUCCAUGACAUCUAUCAUAAUUAGCCUUCUAUCUUAUAUAUAUGGUUAUGGACGCUAUGGUUUACA